GAGAUGUGACCGAGUGGCUGAAGGUGCGCGCCUGGAAAGCGCGUAUGGCGGUAACGUCAUCGGGGGUUCGAAUCCCUCCAUCUCC
rnacentral:tRNA from 1 species